ACGCUGGCGGCGUGCUUAACACAUGCAAGUCGAACGAAGCUGCUUAAAGGAAGUCUUCGGAUGGAAUUUAGGUAGACUUAGUGGCGGACGGGUGAGUAACGCGUGGAUAACCUGCCUUAUACAGGGGGAUAACGGAGAGAAAUUUCCGCUAAGACCGCAUAAGACCACAGCACCGCAUGGUGCAGGGGUAAAAUAUUUAUAGGUAUAAGAUGGAUCCGCGUCCGAUUAGCUAGUUGGUGAAGUAAAGGCCCACCUAGGCGACGAUCGGUAGCCGGCCUGAGAGGGUGAACGGCCACAUUGGGACUGAGACACGGCCCAAACUCCUACGGGAGGCAACAGUGGGGAAUAUUGGACAAUGGGGGAAACCCUGAUCCAGCGACGCCGCGUGAGUGAAGGAGUAUUUCGGUAUGUAAAGCUCUAUCAGCAGGGAAGAAAAUGACGGUACCUGACUAAGAAGCCCCGGCUAACUACGUGCCAGCAGCCGCGGUAAUACGUAGGGGGCAAGCGUUAUCCGGAUUUACUGGGUGUAAAGGGAGCGCAGACGGCAAUGCAAGUCGGAAGUGAAAGGCGUGGGCUCAACCCAUGAACUGCUUUGGAAACUGUAUAGCUUGAGUGUCGGAGGGGUAAGCGGAAUUCCUAGUGUAGCGGUGAAAUGCGUAGAUAUUAGGAGGAACACCGGAGGCGAAGGCGGCUUACUGGACGACAACUGACGUUGAGGCUCGAAGGCGUGGGGAGCAAACAGGAUUAGAUACCCUGGUAGUCCACGCAGUAAACGAUGAAUACUUGGUGUCGGGGAGGUAAACUCUUCGGUGCCGCAAGCUAACGCAUUAAGUAUUCCACCUGGGGAGUACGUUCGCAAGAAUGAACUCAAGGGAAUUUGACGGGGACCCGCACAAGCGGUG
rnacentral:rRNA from 1 species